UUUAAUUUGAUUUCUGUCUAUUCUCCCCUUUUGGCAGAGUUUUCUUUUAUGAAAAAAAGGUUUAAUUUGAUUUCUGUCUAUUCUCCCCUUUUGGCAGAGUUUUCUUAUAUGAAAAAAAGGUUUAAUAAAAAAAUGGAUGAGGAUCUAAGAAUUUGUUUAUAAUGGCCUAUUAAAUUUUGUUUCUAUAUUUUAUAUUUAUCACAUUUAAAAAAAAACUAACACCAUUGAUUGUUGAAGCAAUAGAUUUUGUUCUACAUAAGAGUGCUAUUUAAGAUAUUCACCUACAAAUACAUAUAACAUGUUCAGCCAUAUUUUCUAUAAAACAUAAUGUUUGUUUAUUGAUCGCAUUUAAAAUGUUAAAUACUUAUUAUCAUUUGUUAAUAUGUACAAUUAUUGUUUUAUAAAUGCCAAAUAGUGCAUUUACAUAUAAUCAAUUUCUUGUAGUUUGUAAUUAUGGAUAUACUCUUCAAAAACCUUAAUGCUCUUCAGGAUAGUUACAUGAAAACUUGCAGGGGACACUGAGAAGUCACAUUUAUAUAUCAAUUUCUUUUGGGACAGGGAAAAAGAAGGGGAAAUUUUAAAAACUCUAUACAAAAUAACCCAGUUCCAUCCCUUCGUUUUAUGUUUGUUUGUAAUGGAACAGCCUUUGUACUAAAAGCUGCAUUUACAGCCAAAAAAUUCAGAAACUCACCAUUUAAAAGAUUUUUUAGUCUACCCCAAUUAAACAGAAUAGUGGCUGAAAUUUUGAAAUCUUCAUGUCAGAUGAAUUUGAUGUAUCGAUUUAAGGAAAAGACAAAGUAAGAAGGUUUUCUUUUGGGGUUUAAAAAACAUUUAGUUCUUUUCAUUUGUUGAAUCAGACAUACUUAAAUGAUUGAAAAAAUUGAAAUAAAAAACUGAUUGGCAAAAUGUUUAUGUCAUUUCUUAAUUUUGACCAAAUAAGGGCUGAGAACAACCUAUUGCACUGAUUAUCUGAAAGUAUCAAAAGUUUCACAAAAGUACUUAUUGACAAAAUAUUAUAUGUCUAAUCAAGAUAAUAAUUUAUAUAUGUGGUUAUACCUAUAUUGUUGUGAGAUUAUAAAUUAGAGGAAAAAUUAAAUAUUUACUUCCAUUGUAUUAUAUUUUUGAGACAAAAGUUUAUUGUUUAUAUAUAUAUAUAUUUAUCAUUCACAUUCCAGAUAUAUUUUCAUAUGUUCACAGUAAUAUUCCAUAUAUUAAUAUUUUAUUUGUAUUGUACAUAGUGUCUUACUGAAAAUACUCAUGUGUUAUAUAUACUACGGAUAUGUUGCAUGUUUAUUUUUUAAAAAGAUAAAAGUCAACUGGAAUAAAUUUCAAAUACUUUUUUACAAAUUUAUUCAAACAUUUUGAACAAAAUUUAAGUUUGAUAUCAUGAUUUAUUACAAAUGCAUUGCAAUGUAAUAAUUGGAUGUAAAGACUUCCACAUUUAUCUGUUUUGUUUUUUUAAAAAGAAAUAUGCAAUUUGAUUAUUAGAUGGGGAAACUGUACCUAUAUUCUGUGUUGGUAGAAAUCUGAUCAGACAAUUUCUGCAAUAGAACAUGGUGCUCAUAAAUUAUUGCAUUGUGCUUCCAACCAUAUUCUUCAUCAAUAACCAUUUUUAAACCAGGAAUAUUCUUUUCUCAGUAAAAUAUAGUUAGAAUUCAUUGAAUAUUUCAUAUUGCUUAGUUCAUGUUUGCUAAAUACGGAAUGAAUUGAUUAUUAUCACAGAUUUUACUGUAGAUUAUUUGUCAUCGUGUCUUAUUAUUUUUAUAAUGAUUGAUUUAAAGACUAUUUUAAAAGUGUAGGCAAAGUUCAGUUUUACUGUGUCCCCUAAACAAUAUAUGAUUAUUCAGUAAGUUAAGGGAGUUCGCUUCUCAGUUUCAAAGUAAUUAACUUUUCAAAGCACUAGUUUAUAUUGAUAGGGAAUUAAUUAAGAAAUCCAAAAUGCAGAAAAUAUAUAAAGAUCACCGUGCUUGUUUUCGAGAUAUAAGUAUUUGAAAUUUUGGCGGGAAAAUAUUCUCUCUUGACUUUUUAUAGCUUUAUCAUUGACAAGCUGAAGUUCUCAAAAACUGUUAAAAAGUAAUUAAAAUUUUAUAAGACUUUUACAGAUGGCUUAUCAUUAUACAUGUAAAAGAUUUUCAUAAAGAAAAAUGGGGGUCACUUGGCAAAUUUUUCAAGGCAUUCAAAUGGAUAAAACCAGAGGAUUCCGAAAAUCUGACAAAAAAUCCAAAACAUGACAAGCCAGCUUCCUUAACUGUUUGAAAAGGUAAUAGUCAAACCACCUGACAGUAAUUUAAUAUUGAGAUUUAUAUAUCUCUUUCUUAAUAUUUAAUUAUUUUUUAACAAUCAGAACAGGUCUGACUACUUAAAAGUAAUUGGUUAAAACAACAAUUUUUGCUUUAACUUAAAGGCAUGCAAUAAAGUUGUAACUUAUUGAGGACUUUCACAGUAUGAAAAUUGCACCUUAUUUGAUGUACUAAGCGCAAUGAAAAGAUAUACCUUGAAACCUGCAAUGUAUCCUAUAUUGAUGCAAUUUUAAAAGUUGUUGAUUAUUGUAUAUAAUGUAAUAUGUGUACAUAUUAAUUAUAUACAUUGUGAUAUAAAGUUAACAUAAUUAUACAUUAUUGUCUAGUGUUUUUAUAGCCUUGUUUGAAAGAAAAAACAAAGCCAUUAAACCAUGGUUUAAAAUCAUGGC
rnacentral:lncRNA from 1 species